rnacentral:tRNA from 1 species
GGGGCUAUAGCUCAACUGGGAGAGCGCCGCCCUUGCACGGCGGAGGUUUGCGGUUCGAGUCCGCAUAGCUCCA